rnacentral:rRNA from 1 species
GAUGAACGCUAGCGGCAGGCCUAAUACAUGCAAGUCGAACGAGAUUAAGAGGCUUGCUUCUUAUGAAAGUGGCGCACGGGUGCGUAACGCGUAUGCAACCUACCUUAAUCAGGGGGAUAGCCCGAAGAAAUUCGGAUUAAGACCGCAUAAAAACACGGGAUAGCAUUAUCCAAUGUUCAAAUAUUUAUAGGAUUAAGAUGGGCAUGCGUGUCAUUAGCUAGUUGGCGGGGUAACGGCCCACCAAGGCGACGAUGACUAGGGGAUCUGAGAGGAUGACCCCCCACACUGGUACUGAGACACGGACCAGACUCCUACGGGAGGCAGCAGUAAGGAAUAUUGGUCAAUGGAGGGAACUCUGAACCAGCCAUGCCGCGUGCAGGAAGACAGCCCUCUGGGUCGUAAACUGCUUUUAUUCGGGAAUAAACCUUUCUACGUGUAGGAAGCUGAAUGUACCGAAGGAAUAAGGAUCGGCUAACUCCGUG